rfam:Zea mays cultivar B73 chromosome 10, whole genome shotgun sequence.
CCACUUUGCGACGAAGAGGUGCUCGCUUAUUUGCUUGCAGGUCUUCCAGUCGAGUAUGAUCCCUUCGUCACCUCCAUGACGACCAAGAGUGAGGCCUUCUCCCUCGAUGAUGUGUUCGCGCACCUCGUUGCCUUCGAGGC